UGGCAGCCUUGGAAUAGUACUCCUCC
rnacentral:piRNA from 1 species